rnacentral:rRNA from 1 species
UACGUAGGGCGCGAGCGUUGUCCGGAAUUAUUGGGCGCAAAGAGCUCGUAGGUGGUUUGUCGCGUUGUUCGUGAAAACUCACAGCUUAACUGUGGGCGUGCGGGCGAUACGGGCAGACUGGAGUACUGCAGGGGAGACUGGAAUUCCUGGUGUAGCGGUGGAAUGCGCAGAUAUCGGGAGGAACACCGGUGGCGAAGGCGGUUCUCUGGGCCUGUACUGACGCUGAGGAGCGAAAGCGUGGGGAGCGAACAGG